AUUGAUUGAUUUUGUGAGAGAGAGAGAAACCACACGUGGGGCAGGGGCAGAAAGAGGGAGAGAGAGAUUCCCAAGCAGGCUCAGCACAGAGCCUGAUGUGGGACUCAGUCCCUCAGACCAUGAGAUCAUGACCUGAGCUGAAAUCAGGAAUCUGAUGCUUAACCAACAGAGCCUCCAGUGCCCCAAAACAUUUCCUUUUUUAUCUGAAAUUCAAGUGUGACUUGGCUUCCUGUGUGUCAUUUGCUGACCUGGCUGCCAUGCCCCCGGCCCCACAGGCCCUCACCCCCUUCCACCUCCUGUCCCCUCCCCUUACUCCAGCCCCUCAGGGGCUUCUGGGUCACACUGCGCACCCGCCUCACCCACCUCUGGGGCUGGAAGGAGGCAGAGGGCGGACAGGGCUGGGAUGGUGGGCUCACCGACUCCCUUCCGUUCUGGUCCUUCCUCAGGGCUCCCUGCGCUGGUCGUGGCCAUUUCUGUGGGAUUCACCAAGGCCAAAGGGUACAGCACCAUGAACUACUGCUGGCUCUCCCUCGAGGGGGGACUGCUGUAUGCCUUCGUGGGACCCGCCGCCGCUGUUGUGCUGGUGAACAUGGUCAUUGGGAUCCUCGUGUUCAACAAGCUGGUGUCCAAAGACGGCAUCACGGACAAGAAGCUGAAGGAGCGGGCAGGGUAGGGCCGGGCCCCCGGGGGUCCUCGCCCGCCUUGCGUCAGAAAGACCUGGAGCCUGCCCACUGCCUCCCCCACCGCCCCAGAGCAGGGGAAUUGGGCUCAGAGGCCCGCGUAGGCCCCACAGCCAGCCCUGCCUUGCCCUGUGCCUCAGCUUCUCCAUCUAGUCCUCAGAAACAGUGAAGCCAAGUGUUUCCAGAGACCCUACUCCUGCAAGGACCUCGGGGUGGUGGGAGGGUGCGCCUGGCCCCCUGCUUCGGUGGGGUGACCCUGAGGGAGGAUACAACCUGCCCGUUCUCGUGGUGGCCUCAGCGACGGGAGGCGAGGACUGGGGACAGGCACAAGGUUCCUCCUACCCGGGGGCGGGCCCCGGCCACGAGCACCUGGCUCACAGGAGGGUGAUCCCGAGGGAGCCUGGGACAGUGCUGCUGGGGGCCGGGGGCAGCUAGGGGCGGACACUCACCCCUUCCGUCCUGCCCCAGCCCUCUGAGCCCUCUGCACCUCACCUCUGCCUGCUGCUGCUCUGUGCCUCCCUCUGCCCUCCCUCCGUGCCAGUCGGCUGUCUUGUCUCUGUCUCCUCCUCUUUCUGUUCCUCCUGCUAAUCCUAGUGAGCAGAAGCUUCAGGAAACCGCCCUCUCGGGCGCCUGGUGGGUUCUAGUCCUGGUUAGAAGGCCGCUACACUGCGUUA
rnacentral:lncRNA from 1 species